rnacentral:rRNA from 1 species
UGGGGAAUAUUGCACAAUGGGGGAAACCCUGAUGCAGCGACGCCGCGUGAGCGAAGAAGGCUUUCGAGUCGUAAAGCUCUGUCCUAUGAGAAGAUAAUGACGGUAUCAUAGGAGGAAGCCCUGGCUAAAUACGUGCCAGCAGCCGCGGUAAUACGUAUGGGGCGAGCGUUGUCCGGAAUUAUUGGGCGUAAAGGGUACGUAGGCGGUUUUUUAAGUCAGGUGUCAAAGCGUGGAGCUUAACUCCAUUAAGCACUUGAAACUGAAAGACUUGAGUGAAGGGGAGGAAAGUGGAAUUCCUAGUGUAGCGGUGAAAUGCGUAGAUAUUAGGAGGAAUACCGGUGGCGAAGGCGACUUUCUGGACUUUUACUGACGCUCAGGUACGAAAGCGUGGGAGCAAACAGG